rnacentral:rRNA from 1 species
GUGAGGAAUAUUGGUCAAUGGGCGAGAGCCUGAACCAGCCAAGUCGCGUGAAGGAUGAAGGUUUUAUGAAUUGUAAACUUCUUUUGCAGGGGAAUAAAGUACGGUACGUGUACCGUUUUGUAUGUACUCUGCGAAUAAGGAUCGGCUAACUCCGUGCCAGCAGCCGCGGUAAUACGGAGGAUCCAAGCGUUAUCCGGAUUUAUUGGGUUUAAAGGGUGCGCAGGCGGGUUGAUAAGUCAGCGGUGAAAGUUUGCAGCUUAACUGUAAAAUUGCCGUUGAAACUGUCGAUCUUGAGUGCAAAUGAGGUAAGCGGAAUGUGUUGUGUAGCGGUGAAAUGCUUAGAUAUAACACAGAACACCGAUUGCGAAGGCAGCUUACUGGGAUGCAACUGACGCUGAGGCGCGAAAGCGUGGGGAGCAAACAGGAUUAGAUACCCCGGUAGUCC